GGCUCCUCGUGAUUUUCAAAUGAGGAGUCGGACCUGCCCAGUGAAUUUUUAACGGCCGCGGUACUCUGACCGUGCAAAGGUAGCAUAAUCAUUUGCCUUAUAAUUGAAGGCUUGUAUGAAUGGUUUGACAAGAAUAUAACUGUCUCUUUCUGAUUAAGUGUAAUUUUAUUUAUAGGUGAAGAAGCCUAUAUUUUAUUGAAAGACAAGAAGACCCUAUCGAGCUUUAAAGAAAAUAGUAAAUUUUAAAGUAAUACUUGUAAAAAAAUUAUUACUAAAAAUUUUGGUUGGGGCGACUAAGGAACAAAAAAAGCUUCCUUUUUUAUUUUAUAAAACAUAACAUGUAUUGAUCCAAAAACUUUUGAUUAAAGGAAUUAGUUACCGUAGGGAUAACAGCAUUAUCUUUUUUGAGAGUUCUUAUCGAAAAAGAGGUUUGUGACCUCGAUGUUGGACCAGAAUAUCCUAAAGAUGCAGCCGUCUUUAAGGGUUGGUCUGUUCGACCAUUAAAAUUCUACGUGAUCUGAGUUCAGACCGGCGUGAGCCAGGUCAGUUUCUAUCUUCAAUUUUUAUAAUAAAUUUAGUACGAAAGGACCAGUUUAUUGUAACAUAGUUACUUAUAGUUGAUAAAAUAUAAAGAUUACAUUAAAUAUUUUAAUCAAAGACCGGAUCAAAUUAGCAAAAUUAAUGCAAUUGACUUAGGAUCAAUAGACAUAGGUGAAAAUCCUUUAUUUGAUAAUAUACCUAUAAAGGUGGCAGAUGAA
rnacentral:rRNA from 1 species